ensembl:lncRNA
GGUCUCUUUACUAAAGAAAAAUCUCUGGAAAGCUUUCUCCUGCAAACCUGGAAUCUUCUGAUACGGCUCCCAUUCCAUGCAUAGCUCACACAUUGGAGACCCCCUUGGAUUUGCACAGAGCUAUGCAAGAGCAAAAUGCCACAGAAAAGAAAAGCAGAAGGGCUUCCUGGGCAGGCAGAGUGGGAAAAAGAAAAGCAGCUUCCUGAGCUUUCCAUGCCCACCCACAGGCUGCUGCAGCCAUUUUGUGUUCGCAAAGCCUGGAGGUGAAGCUGGGGAAGGGGCUGACUUUUCCCUGGGAGACUGCAGGGAAGCAUUCAGCUUUUAUAUCUGCUUGUGCAUGUGAGAGAUGGAAGAAAGAGAGAAUCCAACAGAAAUAGGAAAUUAAGCAUGGA